GGGAGGCUGGUAAGCUGAAGGCCACGUGCGUUUAAAAGAUGCAUAAUGAGGAUGGGUCUGGUUGCCCUAGAAUAAGAGGCAGAGCUCAUGCGAGCGCUCACCUUCUGGCUGAGAUGGAAACAUUUCCCACUGCGUACAGCUCUAGUGACUCCUUGAUGUCCGGGAUCACAUUUCAGCAAAAUAGCGGACACACUGCUAGUGGUUGGUGUUGAUUUUACAGUUGUCAUUUCCAGUUUACCUUGCAGAGCUUCAUCUUUAAGU
rnacentral:lncRNA from 1 species